rnacentral:misc_RNA from 1 species
UGAAGCAGGCGCUCCGGCGCCCUUCUCUCUCCCAUAAACCAUGUGGUCCUAUGCCAUGCCUCGGGGGGGUCGAGCGGCCUCGGCCGUGGGGUCCUUUGCGGCCCGCCCCCCCGCGUCUGUCGCGGCUCCGGCGAGUUCUGCUUGUCGGGGCGGACACGCCUUCAGUCUUGGAGUGAUGAUUGUGUCUGAUCAGUCCAGUGGACAUAAUGAAUUA